AACCAGCACCUCAAGUGGUCAGGAUGAUUAUUGGGCCUAAAGCAUCCGUAGCCUGCUCUGUUAGUUUUCGGUUAAAUCCAUGUGCUCAACACAUGGGCUGCCGAAAAUACUGCAGAGCUAGGGAGUGGGAGAGGUAGACGGUACUCAGUAGGAAGGGGUAAAAUCCUUUGAUCUAUUGAUGACCACCUGUGGCGAAGGCGGUCUACCAGAACACGUUCGACGGUGAGGGAUGAAAGCUGGGGGAGCAAACCGGAUUAGAUACCCGGGUAGUCCCAGCUGUAAACGAUGCAGACUCGAUGAUGCAUUGGCUUAUUGCCAAUGCAGUGUCGCAGGGAAGCCGUUAAGUCUGCCGCCUGGGAAGUACGUACGCAAGUAUGAAACUUAA
rnacentral:rRNA from 1 species